GGACUACCCGGGUAUCUAAUCCUGUUCGCUCCCCACGCUUUCGCUCCUCAGCGUCAAUAUCGGCCCAGAGACCCGCCUUCGCCACCGGUGUUCCUCCUGAUAUCUGCGCAUUUCACCGCUACACCAGGAAUUCCAGUCUCCCCUACCGAAUUCUAGCCUGCCCGUAUCGACUGCAGACCACAUGGUUGAGCCACGGGUUUUCACAGUCGACGCGACAAGCCGCCUACGAGCUCUUUACGCCCAAUAAAUCCGGACAACGCUCGCGCCCUACGUCUUACCGCGGCUGCUGGCAC
rnacentral:rRNA from 1 species